UGGGGAAUCUUGCACAAUGGGCGAAAGCCUGAUGCAGCGACGCCGCGUGGGGGACGAAUGCCUUCGGGUUGUAAACCCCUUUCGGCAGGGAAGAAGCGCAAGUGACGGUACCUGCAGAAGAAGCUCCGGCUAACUACGUGCCAGCAGCCGCGGUAAGACGUAGGGAGCGAGCGUUGUCCGGAUUCAUUGGGCGUAAAGCGCGCGUAGGCGGUUUGGUAAGUCGGAUGUGAAAUCCCGAGGCUCAACCUCGUGACUGCAUCCGAUACUGCCCGACUAGAGGUAGGUAGGGGAGAUCGGAAUUCCUGGUGUAGCGGUGAAAUGCGCAGAUAUCAGGAGGAACACCGGUGGCGAAGGCGGAUCUCUGGGCCUUACCUGACGCUGAGGCGCGAAAGCUAGGGGAGCGAACAGG
rnacentral:rRNA from 1 species